GACGAACGCUGGCGGCGUGCUUAACACAUGCAAGUCGAACGGAAAGGCCUGCUUUCCCUUGUGGAUUGCGGGUACUCGAGUGGCGAACGGGUGAGUAACACGUGAGUGAUCUGCCCCCAACUUGGGUAUAAGCCUGGGAAACUGGGUCUAAUUCCCGAUAGGACUGCAGGGUGGUGCCUGUGGUGGAAAACGAUUUUCUAGUGGUUGGGGAUGAGCUCGCGGCCUAUCAGCUUGUUGGUGGGGUAAUGGCCUACCAAGGCGGCGACGGGUAGCCGGCCUGAGAGGGUGGACGGCAACAUUGGGACUGAGAAACGGCCCAGACUCCUACGGGAGGCAGCAGUGGGGAAUAUUGCACAAUGGGCGGAAGCAUGAUGCAGCGACGCAGCGUGGGGGAUGACGGCCUUCGGGUUGUAAACUCCUUUCGACCGCGAGGAAGCCACCUGGUUGGAAGGGUGGUGACGGUAGUGGUAGAAGAAGCACCGGCUAACUACGUG
rnacentral:rRNA from 1 species